ACGCUCGACACCUACGGGAGGCAGCAGUGGGGAAUAUUGCACAAUGGGGGAAACCCUGAUGCAGCGACGCCGCGUGAGUGAAGAAGUAUUUCGGUAUGUAAAGCUCUAUCAGCAGGGAAGAAGAUGACGGUACCUGAGUAAGAAGCCCCGGCUAACUACGUGCCAGUAGCCGCGGUAAUCUGAGCGGGCUGGCAAGC
rnacentral:rRNA from 1 species